rnacentral:rRNA from 1 species
UACGUAGGGCGCAAGCGUUAUCCGGAAUUAUUGGGCGUAAAGAGCUCGUAGGCGGUUUGUCGCGUCUGCCGUGAAAGACCGGGGCUUAACCCCGGUUCUGCAUUCGAUACGGGCUAGCUAGAGUGUGGUAGGGGAGAUCGGAAUUCCUGGUGUAGCGGUGAAAUGCGCAGAUAUCAGGAGGAACACCGGUGGCGAAGGCGGGUCUCUGGGCAGUAACUGACGCUGAGGAGCGAAAGCGUGGGGAGCGAACAGG